rnacentral:lncRNA from 1 species
GACGAAACUCAUCCUCUUUGAAGUCCCCCAUUUAGAUACAUAUAUAUCUAUAAACCAAAAUUCAAAUUCAAAUUUUGAAUUUCGAAUUUCAUUUUAUUCAAAUCUCAGAUAUUACAUCAUUCCCCCCUUACAAGAAGUUUCGUCCCCAAAACUUAAUCAAGUAUCCCCCGCAAACAACUGCGGAUAUCGCUCUCGCAAAGAAGACUCAAGCUCCCAAGUAGCCUCGCAUUCCUCGUGAUUUUCCCACUGAACCUUUACAUACGGAAUGCUCCUAUUCCGCAAUUGCUUCACCUCACGUGCCAAUAUCCACAAAGGAGUCUCAUCGUAACUCAGAUCCUCCCGCAGCUAUAUAGACG